UAGUAUGCGACGGUGGCUGCCAUGUUAGCAUCCAAUCAUGUUGGGUUCCAAAUGAGUUUGAAGUGAAAGAACCUGUUCAUCCUAUCUUCUUAUCAGUAAACUGUAUCCAACAAUUCAAUCAUUUUUUCACAUACCCAUAAAGAAAAAAAGUAAGUUACAGGGUAGUAAUUUAAAACCAACUUUUUAUAGUUCAAUAAUAAGCACAGAAUGUGUC
rnacentral:lncRNA from 1 species